AAUCUUUCGAGCAGAUAAAAAUUAACUGAAUAAAAAUUUCAAAAAUAUGGCGGUGUGAUCGAAUGACGCUAUCCCAGGAAGCCUUGCGCGUGUUGUAGGAAACCUAGGCACCAGCCUGUCAAACCGGGCUCUUCGUGAAACGUGUAAGUCGGGCAAAAAUUGGGGGAAAUAAUUUUAAGAAGAAGACAUAUGCAAUAUAGUAGUGCAAAAUAAAAGAAUUAUGUGAAUGUUACGAG